GAGGAGGCUAGUAAUGAAUUAAGUAAACAUACUACGCAAGUGAAAGUAAUCUUACAUGAUGAGAAAAGUAGAAGACCGAUGAAUAUCAAAGCUGCUUU